rfam:Morus notabilis contig16463, whole genome shotgun sequence.
GGGACUUUACUUGAACAGCAUCUGUUCUUAAGGUUCGCACCUCUGUAUCCUUGAGUUCUAAGGAGACAGGAAUCUCAACCUGGUGGAUGAAUCAUGACCGUGAGAUCGGAGCGUGAUCAACGGCGUGAUGGUACCAAAGAUCAUCUCAGCCGUAGAGAAUCGUUCUCAGCCAAUUACCUCUUCUUGAUCCAAAACAGCAG